rnacentral:rRNA from 1 species
CAGCAGUCGCCGCGGUAAUACGGAGGGUGCAAGCGUUAAUCGGAAUUACUGGGCGUAAAGCGCACGCAGGCGGUCUGACAAGUCAGAUGUGAAAUCCCCGGGCUUAACCUGGGAACUGCAUUUGAAACUGUCAGGCUGGAGUCUUGUAGAGGGGGGUGGAAUUCCAGGUGUAGCGGUGAAAUGCGUAGAGAUCUGGAGGAAUACCGGUGGCGAAGGCGGCCCCCUGGACAAAGACUGACGCUCAGGUGCGAAAGCGUGGGGAGCAAACAGGAUUAGAGACCCCUGUAGUCCCUGUCUCUUAUAC